rnacentral:rRNA from 1 species
AUUGAACGCUGGCGGAAUGCUUUACACAUGCAAGUCGAACGGUAGAGGGGGCAACCCCUUGAGAGUGGCGAACGGGUGAGUAAUAUAUCGGAACGUGCCCAGUCGUGGGGAUAACGUAGCGAAAGUUACGCUAAUACCGCAUACGAUCUACGGAUGAAAGCGGGGGAUCGCAAGACCUCGCGCGAUUGGAGCGGCCGAUAUCAGAUUAGGUAGUUGGUGAGGUAAAGGCUCACCAAGCCGACGAUCUGUAGCUGGUCUGAGAGGACGACCAGCCACACUGGGACUGAGACACGGCCCAGACUCCUACGGGAGGCAGCAGUGGGGAAUUUUGGACAAUGGGCGCAAGCCUGAUCCAGCCAUGCCGCGUGCAGGAUGACGGUCCUAUGGAUUGUAAACUGCUUUUAUACAGGAAGAAACACUACUUCGUGAAGUAGCUUGACGGUACUGUAAGAAUAAGGAUCGGCUAACUCCGUGCCAGCAGCCGACGG